rnacentral:lncRNA from 1 species
CUGAGAACGUUGUGAAUGGAUGUCUUGACAAAUGAUAUGAGUACACUAAAAGAGGAAACUGUUGAUCAAGUUGACUUACUGACUCGGACAAAAGUGGCGCAGUGAAAGCUUGGUGGAAGUACAAGUAACCAAGGAUAAUUUCAUUUGAUGGAUGGCUUAGAGUUGGUAGUGGUAGUAUUUUCCUAAGGGUGGUGGUCAUAUAUAUCAGUAUUAAGAAAAUUGUUCAGUGUUUGCAUAUCAUACAAGCUUUUGGUAUAUUUCUUGGUCAACCAGAGAUGAACCUAAAACAAAAGGGAUGGAUGGAUAUAGUCAUGAACUAUGAUUUGGGGAUAACCCACCACUCGAAGAAGUUUAAUCUAGUGGUAGAUGCGAUUGGUCAUUGGAAGGAAAGUGUCUUGAUAGAGAAGGGAGCAGAAUGGUUGUUUGCAAGUCAAUGUGUUGUUUGUUAUUUGAAGUAGUUGCUAUGGGUGGGGAAGCACAUGAUUAAGUUGACUUACUGUUGUGGAACAUUUUUUGUUGGUUAAGAUAACCGAAGAUGGUGUAAUGGGUUAUUGAACAAAUCAAUAAUAAGUAGAAGAAGAUGGUAUUGAGAACGAUGGUUAUGAAGAAUCACAUCAGUAUAUGCUCGCCACACAUUCAUGGAAGACAAAGACGUACCAUGGUCGUAUACUAUACUACAAUUGAUAGGAAACAGAGACAAAAGCUGCAUAGUGGAUGGAUAAAAGUCCGAUAUGACAACAUAUAAAAUCAUAUCAUUAGGACUCCACGGGACAUGCAAGUUACCAAGGUACAACUGAAAGUUU